GUUAGCAACAGAAAGCUGGAACAAAUUUUUUAGAUUUUACCAAACAAAUGUUAGGUUGUUCAAUUACUUCAUCAUGUUUACUAUUAUUGUAGAAAGGCUACUCUGGCUCUCAUAUUACUUCGUUUUCACCAAAUUGAUCGCUAUAUAUGACAGAUUUUGCCAAUCAUUAUCUUACAGUAUGUAGCUAUUGCAUAUUAUGUGCAAAACUCGAUUUAAAUGCUGUAUCGUUCAUCAGCUAUGAACUUAACAUUUUAUUAAAAGUAUUGUUAUCAACGUGUUUUUUUAUUACGCACAUUGCUGUUUACUUUUUUGCAAUAAUAAUCGAUAUAACAGAAAUGCACUAACAAUAGAGGAAAACAAUCGAUACUAACAAUACAACCAUCGAUAGUUUCGAGUUUCUAGUUUUGCAACUUUGGGAACAGUGUUGCCGACUCUACUUGCCUUUGUUAAAAUUUCAAACAAAAGUUCCCUGUGUGGCAAUGGAUACAUAUAAAUCAACUAAAACCUUCGUUUAACAAUAAUUUCUUUUAACUUAAAAAAUAAAUAUCUUUUUAAGUUAUUUUGUUUUUAGCGCAUAUUUUCAUAGAGUAUUGUCGCAAUAGAAGUGAUUUAUGUGUCUGAUUUCAGUUUUAUUAAUUAUAAAUAUCGCUUCAUAUACAUAUGUAAGUAUUUAAAUUCAGGCUUGCAAAGUCUUUAACAUAUUCGUAUAAUAAUUCAUUAUCGACAUUGGUUACGUCAUCUCUUUGAAUGAUGUAUGCGUGAAAAUAUUAUGUCGAUGAAAUGUCCCCUUCAUUUGUAAAUAGCUCCACAAAAGGGAAAUUUCCGUAACUUAACAACACUGCUUGGAAAUAUAAACAAAGUGUCAAAAAAUGCAGAAACUAUAAAAUGAAGUGAAGUGAAUUACAAAAUAUGCAGCUAUUGUAUAUUACGUGCGUUCAUAAAAGCGAGCUACGCAGUUGCUACGAAGCUCUGCAAUUGGUUAUUUGUGCACAAGUUGGAGCGUUUUGCAAUGGCUUGGAUAAUAAGUGCAACCCCGCUACCUGAUCGUCCUCGCCAGCGAUAUACUCGAAAGCGACAAACACACCCCGCUAUUUCAAGGAUCAACGCGAUGCAAGCACAUUUCGCUUUACCUCCAUUGCUCCAUCCAGCCAAAAUAAGGUUCGUUUGAACUUACACCAGACACAGUGACGUAAAAUGGGACGCAUGCUUCGCAAAACAUCUUCCGAAUGAAAUGAGGGAUGCAACCGGCAAGGAUACUACAGUUUCUAAUUCGGUUUCUAUAUUCCCAGCAGAGACCUACGUUCGCAUCACAACGCCAUCAACUCCAGAAUCGGCUCCAAAUAAUGCAAUCGCUUUAUAGUGCAUGAAUGCAGCAGAAGCCAUUACUCCUAACCUAAUCCUAAUGUGACGCAAUGUUAAAGAGCCCCCACAUGCAAUUUAAUUAAAAAAAUUUCUGCAAAAUCGAUGACAAUUAAUGCCAUUUGAUUAAACUCCCUUCUUUUUUUAUCGAAAUAUGCAUUACAUAUAGAGUUUAAUAAAGGCAUUAAUUGCCAUCGAUUAUGCAGAAAUUGUUUUAAAUUAAAAUGCAUAAAAAUUACAAAUUUCUUUUAGUUAUAAAUUCCUAAAAAAAAAUUAAAUUUUUUUACAAAAAUUUCUGUUUUGUGUACGGCCUUGUGCGAGUGCAGAAUACAUGUACGAAGUUCACAAAGUUGUAAGCCAAGGCUUUUUUUUUGGAAAUGGUUAAAAAUUCUUGUUGUUAAUGCUAAGUAGAAGAAAGGUAAUUUAAUUACUUUUCUGUUUGUUACAAAUUCUUUCAAAAAAAUAAACUUUUUUUCCAAAAUUUCUAUGUUUUGUGAACGGCCUUGUGCGAGUGUUCACAAAGUUGUAAGCCAAGGCUUUUUUUUGGGUAAAUGGUUAAAAAUUCUUGUUGUUAAUGUUAAUUACAGUAAAGGUAGUCCUUUUAUUUUUCUUCUAGAUAUAAAUUAUUUUAAAUAAAUUCACUUUUGUUAUAAAAGUUUUAAAGUUUUGUGUACUGCCAUAUGCGAGUGUAAAAUACAAAGUUGUUAGCCAAGGCUUGUUUAACACAAAAUUUUUGAGAAUCAUGAAUGGUUACACAUAUGAAAAUAAAGGAAAUUUAAUUUAAUUCAGUUGGUCAUAAAUUUUUUUAAAAAAAGAAACUUUUAUUGUAAAAAUUUUGAAGUUUUGUAUACUGCAUACAAUGGUACCCGCAAGGGAUGAGUCGAGACU